AUUGAACGCUGGCGGCAGGCCUAACACAUGCAAGUCGAGCGGAGCGGCGGACGGGUGAGUGAUGCCUAGGAAUCAGCCUGCUAGUGGGGGAUAACGUCCGGAAACGGGCGCUGAUUCCUAAUACUUUCAGUCUAGCCUAGGUCGGAUUAGCUAGUUGGUGGGGUAAAGGCCUACCAAGGCGACGAUCCGUAACUGGUCUGAGAGGAUGAUCAGUCACACUGGAACUGAGACACGGUCCAGACUCCUACGGGAGGCAGCAGUGGGGAAUAUUGGACAAUGGGCGAAAGCCUGAUGCAGCCAUGCCGCGUGUGUGAAGAAGGUCUUCGGAUUGUAAAGCACUUUAAGUUGGGAGGCGUUACCAACAUAAUAAGCACCGGCUAACUACGUGCCAGCAGCCGCGGUAAUAC
rnacentral:rRNA from 1 species